GACGAACGCUGGCGGCGUGCCUAACACAUGCAAGUCGAGCGAUGAAGCCCUUCGGGGUGGAUUAGCGGCGGACGGGUGAGUAACACGUGGGUAACCUGCCUCAAAGAGGGGGAUAGCCUCCCGAAAGGGAGAUUAAUACCGCAUAACAUUAGUUUUUCGCAUGAAGAACUAAUUAAAGGAGUAAUCCGCUUUGAGAUGGACCCGCGGCGCAUUAGCUAGUUGGUGAGGUAAAGGCUCACCAAGGCGACGAUGCGUAGCCGACCUGAGAGGGUGAUCGGCCACAUUGGAACUGAGACACGGUCCAGACUCCUACGGGAGGCAGCAGUGGGGAAUAUUGCACAAUGGGCGAAAGCCUGAUGCAGCAACGCCGCGUGAGUGAUGAAGGCCUUCGGGUUGUAAAGCUCUGUCUUUUGGGACGAUAAUGACGGUACCAAAGGAGGAAGCCACGGCUAACUACGUGCCAGCCGCCGCCGUAAAAC
rnacentral:rRNA from 1 species